GUAGCUGUAGCUGAGAGGUUAAGGUGAUGGACUAGAAAUCCAUUGGGGUCUCCCUGCACAGGUUCAAAUCCUGUCAGCUACA